CCCAGCUUCCGGUCCUCGGUCCUCGGUCCUCGGAGUGGAGCUGCAGGCCUGAGCUCGCUGAAGCCUUGCUAAUGAGCAGAUGCAGUGCAUGUUUGUAAUCGUGAUGCCUGCAUACCCAAGUUUAUAGCAGGUAAAUCCAUAGCCGCUACGCUCUGGAAACAGCCUAGAUGCCCAUCAAUAGAUGAAUGAAUAAAGAGAAUGCUGUCUAUACUCAUGGAAUAUUACUCAGCUGUGAAGAGGGCUGAAGCCAUGCAUUUGGAGGAAAUCAGAUGGAGACCAGCAAGGCACAGAGCGUGUUUCUUUGGGGGCGUGAUGGAUGGACAGAGCUGCCGUAACCACCGUCGCCUAACCUUCAUCCCGGUGUGUUUCAGUCACUCAGCGAACUUCCAGGGCAGAGGCUGUCAGCGGCCCUGCCCGUCCCUGCCAUGCGCAUCACCAGCCCGAUCUCCGUGUGGGCCCUGGUGCCCAGGGACGGAGGCCUGCCUGUCUCUGCUGCCCGCUGCCCCAGAGCUCACGGGGAGGUGUCACUCAGGCACCUCUCAGGCCUAGGGCGGGCAGCGUUCCCCGCUUCUCUGUGGCCCAUCCGGGGGAGGGGAGCAAUGGGGAAGCCAGAGGCCAGCCUCGGCUCCGGGCACACAGGGAAAGGAGGCAGGGACGUCAGGGGGAGCUCUGACCGCCCUCUGUGGAGCGUUCUGUGGCCUCCUUCUGCCUGCUGCAUGUGGAGCCCAAACGCUCUCCCGUGGUCACCAGCAUGGCGCGAUGGCACCAGCCACUGGGUGCCCGUGGCUGCCUGGGCCAUUGAAGGGAAGUCCUGGCUCCGGCUCCCUAAGAUCAACUACUCAGCUAUAAAAUGGAGUACUACUCAGCAAUGAAGAAUGAGCAAUGAGAGACAUUUACAGCUAA